GUGGGGAAUAUUGGGCAAUGGGCGAAAGCCUGACCCAGCAACGCCACGUGAGGGAAGAAGGCCUUCGGGUUGUAAACCUCUGUCCUUGGUGACGAAAAAAAUGACGGUAGCCAAGGAGGAAGCCCCGGCUAACUACGUGCCAGCAGCCGCGGUAAUACGUAGGGGGCGAGCGUUGUCCGGAAUUACUGGGCGUAAAGGGUGCGUAGGGGGCCUUUUAAGUUGGAUGUGAAAUACCCGGGCUUAACUUGGGGGGUGCAUCUAAUACUGGAGGGCUAGAGUGCAGGAGAGGGAAGCGGAAUUCCUAGUGUAGCGGUGAAAUGCGUAGAUAUUAGGAGGAACACCAGUGGCGAAGGCGGCUUUCUGGACUGUAACUGACACUGAGGCACGAAAGCGUGGGGAGCAAACAGGAUUAGAUACCCGAGUAGUCC
rnacentral:rRNA from 1 species